rnacentral:rRNA from 1 species
AGCGGAGAUGAGGNGCUUGCACCUUAUCUUAGCGGCGGACGGGUGAGUAAUGCUUAGGAAUCUGCCUAUUAGUGGGGGACAACAUUCCGAAAGGAAUGCUAAUACCGCAUACGUCCUACGGGAGAAAGCAGGGGAUCUUCGGACCUUGCGCUAAUAGAUGAGCCUAAGUCGGAUUAGCUAGUUGGUGGGGUAAAGGCCUACCAAGGCGACGAUCUGUAGCGGGUCUGAGAGGAUGAUCCGCCACACUGGGACUGAGACACGGCCCAGACUCCUACGGGAGGCAGCAGUGGGGAAUAUUGGACAAUGGGGGGAACCCUGAUCCAGCCAUGCCGCGUGUGUGAAGAAGGCCUUAUGGUUGUAAAGCACUUUAAGCGAGGAGGAGGCUACUGAGACUAAUACUUUUGGAUAGUGGACGUUACUCGCAGAAUAAGCACCGGCUAACUUUGUGCCAGCAGCUGCGGUAAUACAGAGGGUGCGAGCGUUAAUCGGAUUUACUGGGCGUAAAGCGUGCGUAGGCGGCUUUUUAAGUCGGAUGUGAAAUCCNCUGAGCUUAACUUGGGAAUUGCAUUCGAUACUGGGAAGCUAGAGUAUGGGAGAGGAUGGUAGAAUUCCAGGUGUAGCGGUGAAAUGCGUAGAGAUCUGGAGGAAUACCGAUGGCGAAGGCAGCCCAUCUGGCCUAAUACUGACGCUGAGGUACGAAAGCAUGGGGAGCAAACAGGAUUAGAUACCCCUGGUAGUCCAUG